AUGUGAUGCACCGGACCCAUCAGAACAAACUUUAUCAAUCAUGCAUCUGUAUGAAUAUGAUAGGUAUGUCGUCUAAUGGACUGGACCUGGGCGAUGAUGAAUCGGAUGAAAUCAAACAGGAUAUUCGUGGAUGUAUUCAAAUGAAUUGAAGGAUCUAGUGAUGUACCGAAACUUUUUGAACGUGUUAUUGAAGAGUUACAGAGUAGCCUUCUUUACUGGACAUGCUGAUUUCACCUGUGGAUAGGUUGAUUUUACUGUAAUACUUGCAGAGUCUUACACUAGCUAGUCACUACAUUUUGUUGCUGUUGUGGAAGGUUUCUUACUUGCUGCUACCUUCCGGACUAAUUUUGCUGCUGCUGCUGUAUGGAUUCUUGUCUCUGCUGAUUUCUUUAUCCAGGGAAAUCAUAGCAAGAAAAAUUCUGAUUCCAGCCUAUCUCUUUAUUUAUAAGGACCAGAUUCUCAUUCUAUUACCAAUUUCUCCUAAAUUCAGAGAAGAGGACAAUCUAUUCAACAAGUAACAUACAGUGCCAGUACUGAAAAAACCAACCAAGGACACUAGCUAUUUACUAUUGCGAAAUAUAAGAA